AUUGAACGCUGGCGGCAGGCCUAACACAUGCAAGUCGAGCGGAUCGGCGGUCGGGUGCGUAAUGCCUAUGAAUCUGCCUGGUAGUGGGGGAUAACGUUCGGAAAUGGGCGCUAAUACCGCAUCCUAUCAGAUGAGCCUAGGUCGGAUUAGCGAGUUGGUGGGGUAAGGGCCUACCAAGGCGACGAUCCGUAACUGGUCUGAGAGGAUGAUCAGUCACACUGGAACUGAGACACGGUCCAGACUCCUACGGGAGGCAGCAGUGGGGAAUAUUGGACAAUGGGCGAAAGCCUGAUGCAGCCAUGCCGCGUGUGUGAAGAAGGUCUUCGGGUUGUAAAGUACUUUCAGCGGGGAGGCGUUACCCGCAGAAGAAGCACCGGCUAACUCCGUGCCAGCAGCCGCGGUAAUUC
rnacentral:rRNA from 1 species